GAUGAAGAACGUAGUGAAAUGCGAUAAGUAAUGUGAAUUGCAGAAUUCAGUGAAUCAUCGAAUCUUUGAACGCACCUUGCGCCCUUUGGCUAUUCCGAAGGGCAUGCCUGUUUGAGUAUCAUGAACACCUCAACUCUUUAUGGUUUUCCAUGAAGGGCUUGGACUUUGGGGGUCUUGCUGGCCUUUAGUCAGCUCCUCUCAAACGAAUCAGCUUUCCAGUGGUUGGCAGCGUCACAGGUGUGAUAACUAUCUACGCUUGUGGUUUUCUGCCAGGUAAUCCUCAGUGAUGGGGAUUCGCUGGGGCUUAUAAAUGUCUCUCCUCAGCGAAGACAGCUUUGUGAACGUUUGAUCUCAAAUCAGGUAGGACUACCCGCUGAACUUAAGCAUAUCAAUAAGCGGAGGA
rnacentral:misc_RNA from 1 species